AGCUGAUCACUGGGCGUAAAGCGUGCGCAGGCGGUCUUGUAAGACAGAGGUGAAAUCCCCGGGCUCAACCUGGGAACUGCCUUUGUGACUGCAAGGCUGGAGUACGGCAGAGGGGGAUGGAAUUCCGCGUGUAGCAGUGAAAUGCGUAGAUAUGCGGAGGAACACCGAUGGCGAAGGCAAUCCCCUGGGCCUGUACUGACGCUCAUGCACGAAAGCGUGGGGAGCAAACA
rnacentral:rRNA from 1 species